UGAACAACUACUGAAUCAAAUUGCUUAGCAUUAAUGCCGCUGAAUCGAGGAAACUGUAACGUUGUUUGCAGCCUUUAGGUGGAGCGCAGGAACCAUAGGAAUGCGAGGUCCUUGAAGGCGUGUGAAGGUGCACGGCCCGGAGAACAGAAAGAGCAGUGCCCACAAGGGACGGGGCUGCCUGGCCGAGAAAGGACUGCUCAGCACGUGAGCGAUAGGAGCCCGGAGACAGAACUACACGUACACAGACCCUCCUUAAGGAAGGCGAGUGAGUGUUUGACAUACGUUUCUCACCUGGGAGCCAACACUGGCUUUGGCAGUUUGAUACGCAACAGUUGCUUCCAUUUCCAUUGGUAAUCCCAACACUGCUGCCCGAACUGCACGCUCAGCUUCCCAGAACCGAGUUGGAUUGACACUGGCUCAAGGAGUCCCAAGGCUCAGAGUGCUCCCACAUCCUACCUA
ensembl:lncRNA